AGUGAACGCUGGCGGUAGGCCUAACACAUGCAAGUCGAACGGCAGCACAGGAGAGCUUGCUCUCUGGGUGGCGAGUGGCGGACGGGUGAGGAAUACAUCGGAAUCUAUUCUGUCGUGGGGGAUAACGUAGGGAAACUUACGCUAGUACCGCAUACGACCUACGGGUGAAAGCAGGGGAUCUUCGGACCUUGCGCGAUUGAAUGAGCCGAUGUCGGAUUAGCUAGUUGGCGGGGUAAAGGCCCACCAAGGCGACGAUCCGUAGCUGGUCUGAGAGGAUGAUCAGCCACACUGGAACUGAGACACGGUCCAGACUCCUACGGGAGGCAGCAGUGGGGAAUAUUGGACAAUGGGCGCAAGCCUGAUCCAGCCAUACCGCGUGGGUGAAGAAGGCUUUCGGGUUGUAAAGCCCUUUUGUUGGGAAAGAAAUCCAGCUGGCUAAUACCCGGUUGGGAUGACGGUACCCAAAGAAUAAGCACCGGCUAACUUCGUGCCAGCCGCCGCGGUA
rnacentral:rRNA from 1 species